AACGAACGCUGGCGGCAUGCCUAACACAUGCAAGUCGAACGAGACCUUCAGGUCUAGUGGCGCACGGGUGCGUAACGCGUGGGAAUCUGCCCCUCGGUUCGGAAUAACAGUUAGAAAUGACUGCUAAUACCGGAUGAUGACUUCGGUCCAAAGAUUUAUCGCCGAGGGAUGAGCCCGCGUAAGAUUAGGUAGUUGGUGGGGUAAAGGCCUACCAAGCCGACGAUCUUUAGCUGGUCUGAGAGGAUGAUCAGCCACACUGGGACUGAGACACGGCCCAGACUCCUACGGGAGGCAGCAGUGGGGAAUAUUGGACAAUGGGCGAAAGCCUGAUCCAGCAAUGCCGCGUGAGUGAUGAAGGCCUUAGGGUUGUAAAGCUCUUUUACCAGGGAUGAUAAUGACAGUACCUGGAGAAUAAGCUCCGGCUAACUCCGUG
rnacentral:rRNA from 1 species